GCACAAUAUGCUUGGCACUGUCCUUAAUCAUGCGUGUGGAUUUACACGUAACAUGCACAAGUUACCCAAAGGUCAGGUCAUAUAUACACGCUUGAAACUAUGUUGAAUAACCCCAGAUGCAAGAGCGCCUCUUUGUGCACUUUCCAAGCACUUCUCAAAUAUGAAAUUGUUCUGCCAGAAGCAAACGUCUCCCCAGAGACGACGUAUUUGCAAACGCGUCAACAAAGGGAGUUGGAUGGGUGUCGCCAUAUUAUCUAGACAUGAAUAACACGCCGCGUCCCUAUUUAGUCUCUCUUUUGACGGAUUUCAAAGGGGUAAUGUGAUAACACCGAAAGCCAGCUGACGAAGAAAACUUCAAACAAAAGCUACCUCCCUCUUUUAGGGUUACGACAUGAAAGACACCUGUUUCUUUCUGAGAUGCGGCACAGAAUCUAUGUAAUGAAUACCGCCGUAGAUAAGCUCGUCAUCUGGCAGGUGGACUUGGAGAUGCUCACGUCUGGCGUGCACAAUACAGUGCGUCCAGGCUGUGGACACGACGGGACCCUUCACGCUGGAAUUGACGCCCCGGUUGUCGGCACAAAUAGCGCGCGUGACUGACGGGAACGAGCCCGGGGACGGCGUUCUCCCGCCCACCGCGUCAUCCGCCGAGAGUUUGUCUUCCAGCGCGCUGACAGCUCGUCAACGGACGAGAUAAAUUAGAUUUUUUGUUGUUGCAGAGCCGGGGGAUCAGGGCGAGCUGCCGUCCCACUCGACCACGGUCGACCUUUGACCUGUAAGUCUCUUGUGUAGGUAUUCAAGGUGGGAACCUCGGCUCCCGGAUGAAAGUAAAUGCCUCCUUGUCUCAUGUUAGCCAAACAGCACAUGAUGGUCCUGGCACAAUGUUCUAUACAGAGAUAAAUUACAAGCAGAAACUGGAGAAAAUCCAUCGAGGCAUUCAGCAGAACAACAACAACAACAAUGGUCAAAUUCAACUCGCGUUGAAUCGCUGCAUCACGGCUUCCGACCGCCAGCGACUCGCUGGUUCAGUGCGAGGCCGCAAGGAGACACAAGGGGAUCAGUUGAGAGGAUCGAAUGAAACAUACAAGUACAGUUAUUAUAAAGGUUUUCAAAAACUGAAAAUAGAAUAGCAGGUCUGCCUUCGGUUCGCCAAUGAGAUAUAUUUCGGGAGUUGCAGCAUGUCAAUAUUUCUUUUACAAAAUUUUCAUUCAAAUU
ensembl:lncRNA